rnacentral:snRNA from 1 species
AUGCUCACUUUGGCAGCACAUGUACUAAAACUGGAACGAUAUGGAGAAGACUAGCAUGGCCUCUGCACAAGGAUGACAUGCAAAUUCGUGAACCGUUCCAUAUUUUU